UACAGAGGUCUCAAGCGUUGUUCGGAUUCAUUGGGCGUAAAGGGUGCGUAGGCGGCGCGGUAAGUCGGGUGUGAAAUUUCGAGGCUUAACUUCGAAACUGCAUUCGAUACUGCCGUGCUUGAGGACUGGAGAGGAGACUGGAAUUCCAGGUGUAGCGGUGAAAUGCGUAGAUAUCUGGAGGAACACCGGUGGCGAAGGCGGCAUCCUGGACCGGCAUUGACGCUGAGGCGCGAAAGCCAGGGGAGCAAACGGG
rnacentral:rRNA from 1 species